rnacentral:rRNA from 1 species
AGAGUUUGAUCCUGGCUCAGGACGAACGCUGGCGGCGUGCCUAAUACAUGCAAGUUGAACGCUGAAGACUGGUACUUGUACUAGUUGGAUGAGUAGCGAACGGGUGAGUAACGCGUGGGUAACCUACCUCUUAGCGGGGGACAACUAUUGGAAACGAUAGCUAAUACCGCAUAACAAUCACUAACACAUGUUAGUGAUUUGAAAGCACCAAUUGGUGCACUAAGAGAUGGACCCGCGUUGUAUUAGCUAGUUGG